ACAAACUAGUCUUCACAAUUAUCAUCGCAGAGAAGCAUUUUUCAACGGUAGCUGUAGCUAUAGGUAAAAUCAAAGCUAUCUUUAAAAGUCGAUCAACCUGAGGAUGUGAAAGAUAUUUCCUUGCCUCCAUCAUUACACGUGCAAGAUCUCCUAAGCUCUUCAAAUUAGCAAAUCAUUCAUCUUCCCAAAUAUUGUCAAUGUAUAAACCAAGUUGAUGCUCGAGUGCUAUACGUCG
rnacentral:lncRNA from 1 species